GUCUUUGAAUCGCCGAGGAGAUAUAAGCUUCAUCAGUUGAUCCGAAGAAAAGAGACCCCGAGGGUUCAAGUCUUGGUAACCCAUCCUAAACCAUCGCCUCCCUUCUGGCCAAAAGAGAACAAGAUGCUAUAAGGGCUCUUUCUCUUCUUUCUCUAUUUUCGCCUCCACUACGGUGCGCGGUUCUUGGAUCCAUAAGGGCUUUGCUUUUGAUCCCCUCUUGUUGGGUAUUGUUAUGCUUCUAGUUUGCUUAGAUUCUAAAGGUC
rnacentral:misc_RNA from 1 species